rnacentral:rRNA from 1 species
GACGAACGCUGGCGGCGUGCUUAACACAUGCAAGUCGAACGGAAAGGCCCUGCUUUUGUGGGGUGCUCGAGUGGCGAACGGGUGAGUAACACGUGAGUAACCUGCCCUUGACUUUGGGAUAACUUCAGGAAACUGGGGCUAAUACCGGAUAGGAGCUCCUGCUGCAGGGUGGGGGUGGGAAAGUUUCGGCGGUUGGGGCUGGACUGGCGGCUUAUCAGCUUGUUGGUGGGGUAGUGGCUUACCAAGGCUUUGACGGGUAGCCGGCCUGAGAGGGUGAGCGGCCCCAUUGGGACUGAUAUACGGCCCAGACUCCUACGGGAGGCAGCAGUGGGGAAUAUUGCACAAUGGGCGGACGCCUGAUGCAGCAACGCCGCGUGCGGGAUGACGGCCUUCGGGUUGUAAACCGCUUUCGCCUGUGACGAAGCGUGAGUGACGGUAAUGGGUAAAGAAGCACCGGCUAACUACGUG